rnacentral:lncRNA from 1 species
ACUUGGUGCUUUGAGAUAAUAUAUCCUCUGCCUUUCAACUAGCAUGGCUGUAUAUCACAGAGCUGCUAAUGGCAGCAAAGGCGUUUGAGGAAAUGGCCCCUGUCUCCUGCUGGUCUCCGUACUGUCCCGGGAGACUCACCAGGCCUGGCUUACAGGCCUGGCUUACUUUCCCAGCUACUUCCCUGGCUCUGGGCUGUCCUCACACCUUCCCCCAGGUGACUCCUGGAUGUGUGUGUGUGUGUGUGUGUGUGUGUGUGUGUGUGUGUGGACUGCAGAGGAGAGUCAUAAACUUUGAGAAAAACUGGAACUUUGCAUGUCCUUUCCAGGUCCAGUCUUCAGGGUGUCUGGCUAUGAGUGAGGAUCCCAGAAACGCAGCCUUGUUUCCCACCGCAGCUUCUCCAAUGCCUCACCUCGGAGCAACACACGGCUUGCUGACUUGACUCGAUGUCUGCCACGGGUGCGGGGGCACUGUUGACAGCGGUGGACUUAAGGUUUCUCAGGUGGGGUCUCUGUGAAAGUCCUUUCCUGCCUCCUGGGGUGUUGA